CAGGCAACAUUGUUUUGUUCCUUUGUCCAUGAAAAUUCUCAAGAUAAAAUACGAUGUUAAAAUUAACAAACCAACAAAAUGAGGCAUUUCUUCGAAUCAUACUUAUUUGUAACAGGUAAACAACAGCAUAUUUUUACUCAUAUUUUUAAAACUGUGUAAAAACAUCACCCUGACCCUAUGUGAUCUUAGAGAAAUGGGAUGAACUUUUAACAACUCAUCUGCUACAUUUCUAAAUGGGCACAACUUGUUAAGAGAUGAGAAAUCUGCUAAGAGAGCAGUGAUGUCGUUGUCAAAAGUGGUCAAAGGAGCAGGGAAAACAAAGUACAUCCCAGCAGAUGAAGGAAAAAGAGCUAUGGAAAAAGAUGAAGGAAAAUGAGCUGGAACAAGUGAACCUGCCAGAGGUGUAUGAGAAGUACUUGGAAAAAGCUGAGGUCAUUCUAGACAAGGCAACAGCCAGCAGACCCCAAAACAUGUGAGAGAACACAGCCAAGAUCAGUUCAUCUCAGCCCAGAUCAGCCCAGUACAUAAUGCCAACCUAAUAUAUAGAUUUGUGAGGAAUAAUAAAAGGUGGUUGUUUUAAAC